rnacentral:rRNA from 1 species
AUUGAACGCUGGCGGCAUGCCUUACACAUGCAAGUCGAACGGCAGCACGGGAGCAAUCCUGGUGGCGAGUGGCGAACGGGUGAGUAAUAUAUCGGAACGUGCCCAGUCGUGGGGAUAACGUAGCGAAAGCUACGCUAAUACCGCAUACGAUCUAUGGAUGAAAGCGGGGGAUCGCAAGACCUCGCGCGAUUGGAGCGGCCGAUAUCAGAUUAGGUAGUUGGUGAGGUAAAGGCUCACCAAGCCGACGAUCUGUAGCUGGUCUGAGAGGACGACCAGCCACACUGGGACUGAGACACGGCCCAGACUCCUACGGGAGGCAGCAGUGGGGAAUUUUGGACAAUGGGCGCAAGCCUGAUCCAGCAAUGCCGCGUGCAGGGUGAAGGCCUUCGGUUGUAACUGCUUUGUACGGUACGAAACGGUGAGCUCUAAUACAGUUUGCUAAUGACGGUACCGUAAGAAUAAG